rnacentral:rRNA from 1 species
AGAGCGAACGCUGGCGGCAGGCCUAACACAUGCAAGUCGAGCGCCCGUAGCAAUACGGGAGCGGCAGACGGGAGAGUAACACGUGGGAACGUACCCUUUGGUUCGGAACAACACAGGGAAACUUGUGCUAAAUACCGGAUAAGCCCUUACGGGGAAAGAUUUAUCGCCAAAGGAUCGGCCCGCGUCUGAUUAGCUUGUUGGUGAGGUAACGGCUCACCAAGGCUACGAUCAGUAGCUGGUCUGAGAGGAUGAUCAGCCUCACUGGGACUGAGACACGGCCCAGACUCCUACGGGAGGCAGCAGUGGGGAAUAUUGGACAAUGGGCGCAAGCCUGAUCCAGCCAUGCCGCGUGGAUGAUGAAGGCCCUAGGGUUGUAAAGUCCUUUCGACGGGGAAGAUAAUGACGGUACCGUAGAAGAAGCCCCGGCUAACUUCGUGCCAGCAGCCGC